AGUAGUAGGCGCAUGCGUGGUUGCGAUCAUGGCUGGCGGUAACUUCGCGUUUCUGUUACCCAUUUUUAAAACGCAUCUUCAGGUGUUCCUUCCUUCUCAUGGAAGGAACAUUAAUUAAAUUCAGAGGGACUGGGUUUUAGUCCUAACUCUUAUUCCUACUGGCUGUGUAACCGUGGACAAAUUAUUUAACUUCUCAGAAUCAGGUUGUUCAAACCUGAGGUUGAACUGCAAAAAGGUUACGAAGUGACACUCAGUAGGGCCCGAAUCCAUGUUUUCUUUGAUCCCAAUCUUUUUUAAAAAAAUUUCUUUUAAUUACUUGCCAACAUUUUAGAAUUUGGAAAUCUCACAUGAAAUUCUGGACUUUUGAAGCUGAGGAAUUCCAUUGCAACAAUCAAGGAGACUAAAUAGGAAAUGACACUUCUGUUUGGCCAUCUUGCCCUCAUUGGUUUAGAAUGGCAGUGGUUCUCAACCCUGGCUGCACAUUAGAAUCACUUUAGGAGAGGUAAAACCAUACUCACGCUGGAGACCUACUCCUAGAAAUUCUAAAGAGUUUGGGGCUGGGAACUGGCCAUUGAUCUGCCUUUGAAGUUUCCCAAGUGAUUCCCAACCUCUGAUGUAAUAAAUUUCUGGCUGCUGUCGUAUUUGAGAUUUGACCCCCCCAGGUCUAAGACUUAAUUGAUUUUUAAGGCUGUAAGACAUUUCUAAGACUUUGACUUUUAAGACUUUCCUGCCUCAUUCUGAAGGUACGUAGUCGUUUUCUGUGCCCAAUGUCUGUGCUCCUAAAAAUUUCCCCUUGCUGACCUCUGUGGCUUGCGCCUGUAAUUCUGGCUAUUUGGGAGGCUGAGGCGGGAGGACCACUUGAGUUUGAUGCUGCAGUGAGCUGUGAUUGGGUCACUUGCUGUAAGCUCCCAAAGGGUUCACUUUGCCCGCUGCCUGGACAGAGCCGAUUGAUCAACACUGGGGAAUUACAAUAAAGAGUAAUUCACGCAGAGCUGGCUGUGCAGGAGACCAGAGUUUUAUUAUUACUCAAAUCAGUAUCCCAUAGCAUUCGGGGAUCAGAGUUUUUAAGGACAAUUUGGUGCGUGGGGAGACAGCCAGUAAGUCGGAAGUGCUGAUUGGUUGGGUCAGAGAUGAAAUCACAGGGAGUGGAAGCUGUCUUGUACUGCCUCAGUUCCUGGGUCGGGGCCACAAGAUCAGAUGAGCCAGUUUGCCGAUCUGGGUGGUGCCAGCUGAUCCAUUUUGCAGGCUCUGCAAAGUAUCUCAAGCACUGAUGUUAGGCUUUACAAUAGUGUUAUUCCCAGGAGCAAUUUGGGAAGGGUCAGAAUCUUAGUUCCUGGGUUGGGACCACAAGAUCAGAUGAGCCAGUUUACCUAUCUGGGUGGUUCCAGCUGAUCCAUUUUGCAGGGUCUGCAAAAUAUCUCAAACACUGAUGUUAGGCUUUACAAUAGAGUUGUUAUCCCCAGGAGCAAUUUGGGGAGGGUCAGAAUCUUGUAGCCUCCAGCUGCAUGACUCCUAAACCAUAAUGUCUAAUCUUUUCGCUAAUCUGUUAGCCUGUAUACCAAACCUGCACAUGCACUCCCUGAAACUAAAGUAAAAGUUGGAAAGAGCAAAAAAAAAAAAAGAAAUAGUUUAUGUUUUGGUGGAGCUCAGAUAACAACAGCAAGGGACAAUAUAAUGACUAAAAGCACAAACCAACUGUGUGAUCUUUGAUCAAUUAUUUAAUAUCUCUGAAUCUCAGUUUCCUUACCUGUAAAAUGAAGCCAACUAUAUAUAUUUAAAUCCUUACAAAAUUAGUAAAAUAAGCUAUAAUGCACUGCAAUCUUACAAAUUCCUGUAAGGAUUAAAAGAAUUUUUUUAGGCAAGAAGGGGAUUUGUUUAGGGAAAGGGCUGUUAUCAUCUUUGUUUUAAGCUAUAAACUAAAAGUUCUUUCCAAAGUUAGUUCAGCCUAUGCCCAGGAGUGAACAAGGACAGCUUGGAGGUUAGAAGCAAGAUGGAGUUGGUGAUGUCAGAUGUCUUUCGCCGUCUCAGUUAUAAUUUUACAGUGGCAGUUUCAUCACUACAAUCCAGCCUGGGCAACAGAGUGAGACCACAUCUUUAAAAACAAGAAAAAAAAAUUCACCUCAUAUUAUAGUGUUCUUCUGCUAGGCUCAUCAUCAUGAAUAAUAACAACCUGUGUCUACUAUGCCUGUCACUGUGUUAAGUGCUGAAAAAUAGUUCUUUUUUUUUUUUUUUUUUUUGAGAUGGAGUCUUGGAAUGUCACCCAGGCUGGAGUGCAGUGGCACGAUCUCGGUUCACUGCAAGCUCCGCCUCCCAGGUUCACGCUAUUCUCCUGCCUCAGCUUCCCAAGUAGCUGGGACUACAGGCGCCUGCCACCAUGCCCAGCUAAUUUUUUGUACUUUUUUUUUUUUUUUAAGUAGAGAUGAGGGUUUCACCGUGUUAGCCAGGAUGGUCUUGAUCUCCUGACCUCGUGAUCUGCCCGCCUCGGCCUCUCAAAGUGCUGGGAUUACAGGCGUUAGCCACCGCACCCGGCUGAAUAAUUGUUCUUUUAAUCCUUACAGGAAUUUGUAAGAUUGCACUGCAUUAUAGCUUAUUUUACUAAUUCUUGUAAGGAUAUAUAUGGUUUCAUUUCACAGAUAAGGAAACUGAGAUUCAGAGAUAUUAAAUAAUUGAUAAAAGAUCACACAGUUGGUUGCUCUUAGUCAUUAUAUUGUCCCUUGCUGUUAUCUGAGCUCCUCCAAAACAGAAGCUAUUUCUUUUUUUUUUUUUUCUUUCAAACUUUUACUGUAGUUUCAGGGAGUGCAUGUGCAGGUUUGGUAUAUGGGUAAAUUGCAUGUUGUGGGGGUUUGGUGCAUAGAUUAUUUUCUCACCCAGGCAAUAAGCAUAGUACCUGAUAGGUAGUUUUUGGAUCCUCACCCUCUUCCCACCCUCAAGUAGGUCCCCAUGUAUAUUGCUCCCUUCUUAGUGUCCAUGUAUUCAAUGCAGAAACUGUUUCUCAUCUUUUUAUUCAAAUACCUCAUACAUAGUAAGAAUGCAGUGAAUGUGGCACUUAUCCUGCCAGAUGGGCUAAAAAUACCAAAGUCAUUUGCCUUCCUCAAACAUUCAUUGAGCCUUAUUAUAUGCUAGGCACUAGAGAUAUAAGAUUUUUUUUUAAACUGCCCUUAAGAAUAUCAUGGUUGAAUGGAGAAACAUGAGUAAACAGAUGAUUCCAAUGUAAUGUGAAUAUAUAUACUAAGUCCCACAAUAAAGUUAUGCUCAAAAUUUGACAGAAAGGCAGAAGAAAGACAACUAACACUGCCUAGAGGAGUCAGGGAACUUUUGAAGAACCCCAUGCAGUUAAACUAGAGAGAGGAGUAAAUUUGAAAACCAUUAAGAAGGUGAAAUCAGCAGGACUUGUCGGCCAAAUGAAUAUGUAGGGCAACAUUGAAAGAAGUAGUCAAGGAUGACUGUCAAGUUUUGAGCUUGUGUAACAUACUGGGUUAAUCUUACUCCUUGACCUCCACAAAGUCUAAAUUAUGUAGAUUUGAUCCAGGACAGGUGAGCCCUAAAGUGGGUCUUAGCCUGUGGGUUCUUGGCUUUACCCAGGGAAGAAUUCAAGGCCAAGCUGGUGGUAAAAGAAAACAGCUUUAUUAAAGAGGUGUUACAGCUCCAUGACUGCUCCUGCAGAUAUAACAACUCAGGGCAGUUUUUCAGUCGUAUUUAUACCUACUUUUAAUUACAUGUAGAUUAAGGCAGAGUUUAUGCAGUAAUUUCUAGGGAAGGGGUAGUAACUUUUGGGUUGUCAUGUCACUGCCAUGGAAAGGGGUGGUAGCUCCCCGGUGUUACCAUGGCAACAGUAAACUGACAUGGCACAUAGCACACAUGGCACAUGGCACAUGGGAGGUGUGACUUAUGGAAAACUGCUUCCACCCUGUCCCUGUUUUAGCUGGUCCUCAAUUUUGUCCAGUGUCCAAGCCCUGCCUCUGGAGCUCAGUCUUGCCUCCUACCUCACAGUAGAGAUUCACCUCUACAGUAAUUCCCACAUAUACAGUUGGAAAUGGAGACAACAUUAUAAUGGCCAAAAGUAUGUUAUAUUCCUUGGAUACAUUUGUUGUUGAAGGAAAAAAGGUUGAGAACCUCUCUUCUAUUCUUGAUGUGCCCUCCUAGUUCAGCUCCUUAUAGCCUAAACUAUAAUAGCUGGAAGCUAUCUCGUCUACCAGCCUCUAGUCUCCACCUUUGCUAUAUACUCUAUACACUGUAGUUAAGAUCAGGCUUCUACAUCAUUGCUCUGCUCAUGUCACUCCCCUGUUCAAACACCUCCAGUGAGUUACCAAGGGCUACCUCCCUAAAUCUGUUUAUCUUCUGAAAAUAAGUGUAC
rnacentral:lncRNA from 1 species